GUAAACAUUCCCAACGAAAUUGAAAUUGAUUGGCUUAACGUUAACGUUCCAAUUUGUGGUAUUCAUAAUCUUCCAGAUUCCACUAGGUUGUGUAAUGGAUGUCACUUCUGAAGUCCUAUAAGUCAACGGUGCACCAUGGAAAUUCGUCUAGUUCACCAGAUCAGAGCUGCGUAUGGACAUUGAACAUAAUCAAUAAUCAAAGUCAUCGACCGAACAAUACCACCUGUCUGGGAACUUGCCUGAGAAGCAUUAAAUGUGGAACUCUGAAGUGGGACGACAGGACGUAGCUGUGCAUGGUGGUCGCUAACAAUAAAGUCUAAAGGGUCGAGUACAAUGCUGCGUUUUCACCGACUUCAAUUUCAUCGCAUAUAAAUCCAACCACGGUCCGAUCAUCUGCUGAAGAGUACUAUGCUGUUUCAGUUUUAUGAAAGUAAUCAAAUCUGUACGUGCCUAUAUAGCAGGCUUUGAAUCCAAAUGAGAAUGAGAAAAUCUCUCACUUAUCAUGUAAGCGGCUACACUCUCGAUAGGUAGCAUACCGUGAGAGACGUUUAUCGGUAGCUGUUACGAUAAUUAACUGAUUCGGGGGGGCUACAACCCAUGAUAAAUUUCUUUUAAUAUUCCCCAAUUGCGGGGGGCACCCGUUCUGAUGAAGCAUUUCAACUUGUUUUGCACGGCUGUGCAAAAAAAUAUGGUCCCCAACAUGAAAUGAGCGAGAACAACGCGUUUCAUCAAACCCCAUCGGUGGGGGCCGCCUAUCCGAAUCAGUUUUUUUCCAACGUGUAUUACAAUUGCGAUAGUUUCGUUUUCAUGGUUUG